rnacentral:rRNA from 1 species
AGUGAACGCUGGCGGUAGGCCUAACACAUGCAAGUCGAACGGCAGCACAGUAAGAGCUUGCUCUUACGGGUGGCGAGUGGCGGACGGGUGAGGAAUACAUCGGAAUCUACUUUUUCGUGGGGGAUAACGUAGGGAAACUUACGCUAAUACCGCAUACGACCUACGGGUGAAAGCAGGGGAUCUUCGGACCUUGCGCGAUUGAAUGAGCCGAUGUCGGAUUAGCUAGUUGGCGGGGUAAAGGCCCACCAAGGCGACGAUCCGUAGCUGGUCUGAGAGGAUGAUCAGCCACACUGGAACUGAGACACGGUCCAGACUCCUACGGGAGGCAGCAGUGGGGAAUAUUGGACAAUGGGCGCAAGCCUGAUCCAGCCAUACCGCGUGGGUGAAGAAGGCCUUCGGGUUGUAAAGCCAUUUUGUUGGGAAAGAAAAGCAGCAGGUUAAUACCCCGCUGUUCUGACGGUACCCAAAGAAUAAGCACCGGCUAACUUCGUG